rnacentral:lncRNA from 1 species
GCGCGCUCACAUACCCCACGUCCCCACAUUGUCAUUGGAGAAAUAAAAUAUGUGUAAGAAAAAAAAUUGUAUAAGAAAAAAAAAUUGAGUCAUAAUUUCCUGUCAAUAUGCACAUCUACAUAGUUUGUCCUUAUUAUCUACAAAGUUUUUAUGAAAUUAUGUUGUGUGGUUUCAGAGGAGUUGCGAUGACAAACUGUUGCAGAAGUACAUUGAAACAAAUAAGUUCAAAGGGGCGCAACUCCUAGAAAAAAAAUUGAAUCAUAAUUUCCUGUCGAUAUGCACAUCUACAUAGUAUGUCCUUAUUAUCUGAAAAGGUUUCAUGAAAUUCUGUUCUGUGGUUUGAGAGGAGUUGCGAUGACAAAAGGUUGCAGUAGUAUAUUGGGCAAAUAUGUUCAAAGGGGCGUAACUCCUGGAAAAAAAAUUGAAUCGUAAUUUCCUGUCGAUAUGCACAUCUACGUAGUAUGUCCUUAUUAUCUGAAAAGGUUUCAUGAAAUUCUGUUGUGUGGUUUGAGAGGAGUUGCGAUGACAAACUGUUGCAGUAGUACAUUAAAGUAAAUAAGUUCAAAGGGGCGUAACUCCUAGAAAAAAAAUUGAAUCGCAAUUUCCUGUCGAUAUGCACAACUACAUAGUAUGUCCUUAUUAUCUGAAAAGGUUUCGUGAAAUUCUGUUGUGUGGUUUGAGAGGAGUUGCGAUGACAAACUUGC